rnacentral:misc_RNA from 1 species
UUAACUAUUAUAUAGUACUCAGACGACACUAAUAAACAGAGUUUGGGGUCCUCUGGCGAGCGCACACCAGCGAAAAGCCGGUGGCCGAAGCGGCUCGCCAAAGCAACAAAGGUUUAAUAACAUAGGGUUGGAGAGUCACCCCGUGAGGGCGAUGUUCUCUGUAAUGAUCCCUCCGCAGGUUCACCUACGGAGA